rnacentral:lncRNA from 9 species
AUGGGGAAAGUUCUGGGGGAGCAGAAGAUCGUUUACGGGAAAGACAGGCUGCGGGGGCCCGCCGAGAGCAGAGGGGCGGGGCUGGGCGGAGGUCACGUGGCCCGCGGCCUCUGGAUGCAGGAGGGGCAGCCUGGCCUGCGUGGGCGCUUCCCACCCCGGGAGAUGCGGAGGGCCCACCGGCAGGCCGGGCGCACCCCCCACCCCGCCCCUGCUCCGACGCCUCCCCGGCACGUCGACCCCCCACGAAGCCCCUCUAGGCUCCCCAGCCGGCAGCCUCGGGCGGGGCCGCGCUGGGCCCAGGCCUGCGUCCCAGGUGGUUUUGUUCCUGUGCCCGUCGAGCAGGCCGUUUCAGCCUUUCCGACCGACCGUGUGGAGGGAGCGCUGCUCUGCUCAGCAUUUCACAUGGUUAAACACAGAACAACCGGAGUUCCCGUCGUGGCGCAGUGGUUCACGAAUCCGACUAGGAACCAUGAGGUGGCGGGUUUGAGCCCUGGCCUCGCUCCGUGGGUUAAGGAUCCGGCGUUGCCGUGAGCUGGGGUGUAGGUCGUAGACGUGGCCCAGAUCCUGCGUUGCUGUGGCUCUGGAGUAGGCUGGCAGCUACAGCUCCGACUUGACCCCCAGCCUGGGAACCUCCACAUGCCAUAGGAGCCGCCCUAGAACAGGCAAAACAAGCAAACAACACACAGAACAACCACGUGACCCAGCAAUUCCACUUCUUGGUCGCUGGCCACAAGAAGGGGAGACGUGUGCACAGGCAGACUGCACAGAACGUUCACGACAACCAAAAGGUGGGUAGAGCCCCAGCCCUCCGCAGAUGAGCGGAUAAUGGAACGGGGUCUGUUCACAUGUGGAGUAUUUUUCAGCAAAGAAAGGGACUGAGACUCUCAUCCAGGCUUCGGCUUGGACGCAUCUGAGACGCGGGGCUCGGCGAAAGGCGCCCACGGCCCCAGCGCCUGCAAUCCCGCUUAUGCGGAACGUCCAGGAGGGGCCCGUCCACAGACAAGGGGAGCAGUGUUCCCAGGGCUGGCAGGUGGCUGAGGGCCGCAGGGUUUCCCUUUGGGGUGACGCCAACGGUCUGAAGAGGCUUGUUGGUGGUGGGUGCACGCCCUGGGCGGGUUCUGAAGGCCCCGGACGGUGUGCUCCGAGUGGGCGAUGGGCACACGUGUGAGUUUUCUGUCUCAGCUGUGGGCAAACGACCGCGCCUGCCUUCACGGGGGGUCUUGAGGGUAUUAUUUUCUGUAACAUAUUUUAGACAGUGUCUGGCCCUUGCUAAGUGCUCAAUCCACGUUAGCAGGUUAAAGCUGAUGAAUUCCUGUUAAGCACUUGAAACCCUGCGUGCCCCGAGAACUCUGCUGGGCCAGGACAGACGGAGCCUCCUGGGCACGGGAGCGCGGGCCUCGCCCCCUGCUGUCCACCAAGACACUCACCCCUCGGGUGUCUUUUUAUUCCUGGCCUCUCUGUCCAUGGUUUUAGCAUCGCUUUUGAGAGGGCCUGGCUGGGCCUCUUCCUCUCGCCGCCCUUCCCGCCGCCCCGCCAGGCCUGCCGGACGGGCACUCUGUCCUCUCGCCCCCACUUGGCUCCCAUGAGAGGUGAUUUGGACAGACAGGCACCCUCGAGGCUGGUGCUGGGUCGGGCUCCCGGGACCCUGGCUGGGGGCUGCCUCCACGAAGCCUGUGGAUUUCUGACCCGGAGGACAGGCUGAACACUUGCAGAUACCAUUAAGCUGACAGAACGGCUAAUAAUUUAGAUGAUGUGAAAACCAUCCAACUCUGUCUGAGUAAAUUAGAAGAAUAAAAUGAGAUUCAUUAAGGGCAAAAGCUGGAGCGACCCAAUAGCAGAGAGCGUCAGAAAUAGAAAAGGCAGGACUUGGGAACAGCGCGAGCAGGGAAGGACCGGGAGGUGGUGUCUGAUGAGAAAUGACAUAUUCAUCACCAAAACGAGACCCCCCAUCUGCCUGGGGAGCCCGAGCACCCCAGGGCCUUUGGCUGAGUCAUCCUGCCCGGCUCUGCCAGGCAAAGGGUGGCCUCUCGGUCUGGCCUGGCAGUUGGUGGCACUGGCCGCAGGCUGGGACCUCCCAGAACCCCAAUUGCCGGGAGAGACCAGAGACCCAGCCGGAUAAGUGGCCCCGUGAAGCGGGUGCACCAGCGUCAUCUUCACAUGUGUUGAGCACCUACUGUGUGCCAGGCAGGGGUGGGACACUCUAACGAAAUCGUCGAGGUCCUGCUGUGGCUCAACAGGAUCGGUGGCGUCUUGGGAGUGCCGGGACGCAGGUUCAGUCCCUGGCCCGGCACAGUGGGUUAAGGCUCCGGCUGUGGCUCAGGCCACACGCUGCGGCUCUGAUGGGAUCCCUGGAUGGGAACUCCGUAUGCUGUUGAGCACUUACUGUGCACUGGGUGCCUUCGAGGCACUGCCUCAGUACGUGAUGCAGUGAUUCGGUAGGUCAGGUGUGUUUACUCCGGUCUAUGGGUGAACAGCCAGGUGUGGAGAAGGUCAGCCACUUGCCCCAGGGCGCACCGCCAGGAAAUGGCAGAGCCAGGGCAGGGGGCGGCUCGCUGCUGGGCCCCUCACUGCCCCCGGCUGGUCAACAAGCAUGCUCAGUGCGGCCACGCGUGGGAACAGAGGGUGUGGGGUGGGCACAGUUCCCGCCCCCAGCUGGUGCGGCCGGAGGCAGAGAGGGAAAAACCACAGGGAGUUAGGCUGCAGGUGAGGAGUCCGCUGCUGGGGUACACCCAGGGGCUACAGGGGUGCAGGCCAGGUCCUUGCAACCCACGCUGUCCUCAGUGGUCAGAAGAACGGCUGGGCCUCAGCCAAGCCAGGGAUGUGUGAUGUGGCAGGAGCGCUCCGGGCAGAUGAGACAGCACGGUCGAAGCCAGGUGUCCUUGGGGAGUUGCAGGUCAUCCCUUCCCAACUGAGCCCUUGGCCUGAAG